rnacentral:rRNA from 1 species
GCAUACCGAAAGGGGUUGCCACCGGUAUAGCUGCCUAGUCUGGGGCACAGGAAUUUCCGUAGGGCGAAAUCGAGACACGAUGUAGAGCUUACGGUCAAAUGUUGUGGAAGACCAGAUGUAGUAGCAGGCCUGGGGUUCCUAGCCAGAAACCUAGACUAGUACGUACAACUGCGUAGUAUCGUAGGUGGCAAGCUAAUCGAGAAUAUGGCGAAAGGCGCGGUGGUUUUUAAGUUGAGUGAAAGCCCCGGCUCACCGUGGAGGCUCAUUGGAAUGGGAACUUGAGUCAGAUGAAAAGGAAUUCCGGGUAGCGUGAAUGUGUAGAGAUAGAAGGAACCCAGGGGGAAGGGGACGGUCUGUCUUAACUGUCAUGAGACGUGAAAGCGUGGGGGCAAACAGGAUUAGAUACCUGGUAGUCCACGCUGAAAACGUGAGUCUAAGAUAGAGGGUUUCGCCUUUAAUGGAAGUUUAGUCUAUAAGCGGUCAGGGUGGGGAGUACGACACAAGGAAAACUCAAAGGAAUUGACGGGGGCCCACACGAGAGGUGGACAUGUGGUUUAAUUGGAAGCAACGAAAGCCCUUACCAGUUCUUGACAUCCUUAAAAACUAGAGAUAGAGCUUCUCCUUCGGGACGGAGAAACAAGUGGAACAGGGUAAGUGUCAGGUCAUGUCGUGAGAUGUGGAAAAAUGCCACAACAAGCGCAACCCUUGAUUUUGGUUCCAUCAAUAAGGGCAUUUUAAGGGACCGGGACAAACCGGAGAAGAGGGUGGGAUCGAUCCACCUGACCCUUUAUGGCCGGGGUUACACCGGUGACCAAUGGCCGGCAAAAGAGGCCAAGACCCGAGGUGGGGCUAUUUCAAAAACCCUUCUCGUUUCGGUUGCAGUGGCAACUCGACUCCCGAAGCCGGGAUCGCUAUUUUUCGGGGGCCAGCUUCGCGGGAUACUUCCCGGCCCUGUCACCUUUUUUUCUCCCCUAAGUUGUCCCCCGCGGUACGUCUUAACCCCAAGAGGCCGACACGCACCGUUUGUCAAAUGUG